GACGGAGGAGGCAAGCGUUAUCCGGAAUUAUUGGGCGUAAAGCGUCCGCAGGUGGCGAUUCAAGUCUGCUGUCAAAGGGCGGGGCUUAACCCCGGGAAGGCAGUGGAAACUGAAUAGCUAGAGUGCGGUAGGGGCAGAGGGAAUUCCAGGUGUGGCGGUGAAAUGCGUAGAGAUCGGGAAGAACACCAGUGGCGAAAGCUCUCUGCUGGGCCUGCACUGACACUGAGGGACGAAAGCUAGGGGAGCGAAAGGG
rnacentral:rRNA from 1 species